rnacentral:lncRNA from 1 species
AAGGUCACCUCAUCACGCGCUUUAGACGCCAUGCCUUGGUUCGCUUUACCGUUAACUCUGAAAUUCUUAGAUAAUGCUGCUGCUGCUGCGAUCGAUCGACAUGAUGGCUUCGAUUGAUCUUGUUGAUGCAUACAUAAAUUGAUGCGCUGGUUUUCUUUAGUUCAUCAGGUCAGGUCAGCUAAUAAAGCUGGAACUAGCUAGGGAACAAUCAAUGAUUAAAAAUUGAAAUCUGACAGUUGAUUAGUUUGGCUGCCUGCUUUGCCUUGAUAGAGAAUGNNNNNNNNNNNNNNNNNNNNNNNNNNNNNNNNNNNNNNNNNNNNNNNNNNNNNNNNNNNNNNNNNNNNNNNNNNNNNNNNNNNNNNNNNNNNNNNNNNNNNNNNNNNNNNNNNNNNNNNNNNNNNNNNNNNNNNNNNNNNNNNNNNNNNNNNNNNNNNNNNNNNNNNNNNNNNNNNNNNNNNNNNNNNNNNNNNNNNNNNNNNNNNNNNNNNNNNNNNNNNNNNNNNNNNNNNNNNNNNNNNNNNNNNNNNNNNNNNNNNNNNNNNNNNNNNNNNNCUCUCUCUCUCUCUCUCUCUCUCUCUUGCUGGUUUGCAUCAAUGGUGGCGAUGAUGCCGUUCCCUGGCCGUGGCUUACUACAGUUUUGGAUGCAUUUGCCUUUGCUCUUAAUACUACUACUAGGCCUACUAGGUAGCUUCUAAUCCUGUGUCUAGCUCUUCCAUAAGGUGUCACGCCUUUGCUUUAUCUUUGCUCUUCAAAAGCUGAGCCCUAGCACCCUAGCUAUAGGCUCUAGCUUGUACAACUAAUUACUUUGCUCUUCAUUUGGUCUGAACUCUGAAUAGUUGCUAUACUCUUGCUAUGCUAGAGAGAGAAAGAGAGAGACAGAGAUAUAGAGGUUUUUUUUAGCGGGUAGAAGGGAGAGUGUUAGAAGGGAUAGAAAGGGAUUGGUGAAAUUGUUGAGAGGAUUUAAUGUUGAGAUAUUUCUUCCAGUCAUCAUAUGCUCCAGGAUCAAAUGAUGAGAUGAUUGGGAGACAAAUAUAGUUGUGCUCCCCUCUCUCUUCGUAGAUUCGUGUUUUGAUUGUUUCUAACUCUGAGCUUUCAUACCAUCGGUGUCACAUUGCAUAGUAAUCUAUUCUCUUCAUUCGACACUGUUUUUUUCCAACACUUUUAUUAUGAUUUUCUCAAAUUAUAUCUAGAUUUUGUUCUGGAAUUGGUUUAGCAUCAGGUAUCGUAUACUAUCAUUCGGAGUUAAUUGUUCUGCACGUACCUCAUCUAUAUGUUGCAUGCCCUCUCCUCCCCUUGCUCUCCAAUUACCCUCAGUGGUAAACAUAGCAACAAAAUCAACGAUCUAAUCUACCCGUAAGGAAUCUAAUUAAUCUUGAUACAGUUUUGAUAAGACAAAAGGUAAAUGCUUACACAGAGUUAUCUUGCUUGAGUCGCCUCUUCUGUUAGUUAACUACAUAUAUUUCUAUGUCGUACCGGUUUCAUGUUUAGCAUUCUUUACCAUCUUCGAAGAUGGUCAUUUUGCAUUUGUUUGCCUUUGAGCAUAGAAUGUCCUUAUAGAGAAGCAACUUCUAUUUUGGAACUUGGAAGAGGGAAAACCUUUGUUAACUUCUGCCUUUCAAGAGAUAACAGUGAAACACAUUAUGUGUCACGUACUAACAUAAUUGCACCUCAUUUAUGUAGUACGACACAGCAUUUAGGGGAACUCAGAAGCUUAGUACUCCCUCCAAAAGCCGAAAUAAUGAGUGCACUUACUUGAUUUUCUGUUUUGCACUCUAGUAAUGGUAUAUUGCUUAAUUACAAACGGUAGGCCUAAACCUGCUUGUGCUUGUAAUGCCAGCUAUAUUAUAUUUUUUUUGACUUGAUUAAGUUCUCCUAUAAAUUUUAAAAAUAGUGUAUAUAUUUGUAUAUUUUAAGGUGUUUUAUAAAUGGUUAUUGCUGUAGCAUCUGCCCGCAGACCGUUGGUUUUAAUUUCCGUAAAAGUUCCUGUUCUAUGUUUACUUUGUUUAAAAUUUCCUGAAUGUGAUGAUCCUCUAUUCCUAAAUAGUUCCAACUCACUACAUUUUUUUCUAGCCAUGCAGCUAUGCCACGUCAACAAGUCUUGCAUAUUAGUGAUAAAUUGCAUCUUUUGAAUUAAUGUAUCCAUGCAACCAUGCCACAUCACCAGGUCAUGCAUGUGGAUCAAAAGUUACCACAUUGUUUUUAUUUUUUAUUUUUUUGUGUUAUAAUGCACGGUAUAUGUGUUUGACGCGUGGAGCAUAUCUAUGUAGUUCAUGCUUUGCAUUUUUGUUGAAACUAGCAAUGUGCCCGUGCGUUGCAACAGAUUCAAAGUAGAAUAAUACAUGUUCACAAACUUAAAGAAAAACACUCUAGUUUUGGUGUAUAUAUAUCACUAAAAAUAUACUCGUAUUAUGUUUCACUCAAAAUAUAUUCCUCAUGGUUGUUUUGAUAAGGUGAGAGAGAGAGAGAUGUGGUUGGUUUCAACUUUCAAGAUACUACGGGGUUUCUGCAAAUUGGAGCAGAGAAGUGGGGUCUUGUUGCAAAAAUAUCACAGUUUACCUCACAGCCUUUAGAUGCAGAUCUGAUGGUAAGAAUUGACGGAUGGCAGACAAACCAUCAUCACCAACUGAGUCUUUUAUAGGAGUAGAGAAAUGGCAUUUCAAUAACUUAAGUCCAAAAGUUUUUCUCUUUUUAUACACCAUUUUGUUACACACUUCAUAUGAUUUAUUGUUUUUAAAUAUAAAUCAUGAACACUUGAUCCUACAUUUGCUUGUGCCUUAGUUAUAUACCACCAAAUUAUACAUUUCCAUUAACAUGUUUCCCCGCAACAACGUGUAGGGUAUGAUCUUGUUUUAAUAAAUGAUCAGGUUGCACAAAUGAAAUUUAUGUAUUGCCUGCCCUCUGCAAUUAUUUUAGAUGAAACGUUGAUUGACUGUCAAUUGCUUGUUGUUUCAGAAGUUUCCUCGAGAUAAUUAAAUACUUUUAGCAGCCCCUUCAUUUUCAUCCUAACAACUUUUCACUUAUUAUCCUUAUGUUGGAAGUUCAAUUUCAAAUUCAUGGGAUGUGGUUUCUUGCCCAUAGGACUUUCCCUAGAGUAACAUUGUUCAUAUUUUUAUCCAGUAUACAAAUACGUCUUGUGAAAUGAAGAUAUCAUUGCUGGUUUUGCAUUUCUACUUUUUUUAACUUAAAAGAAUACAAGAUGGAAUGCUUACAAAGUAAAUUAGUAGUUUAAUGAAAUUAAGUUUAUCUUUAUAUAAGUUUGUUGAGAAUACAGGAUCAUUUAAGUCUUGUUCUUUGUUAUUGGGAUAGGUAACUUGCUUUUAUACCGGUAUUGUUCGCUUGUUGAUUUUACUUCAAAUAAACUCGUUGAAUGGCUACCAAUUUUUACAAAAAUUAAAAUCAAUGUAGCAUUUUAUUUACCAAUAAAGCAUUUAGUUUUAUGCUUCGACGGUUUGGCGGCAUAUAAGCUUAAUUAACUCAUCCAUUAAUUAACUUUUUUUGCACAAAAGCACUUUUUUGCGGAAUCCAUUAAUUACUUCAUAACAUGGUAGUAAGGCGGGUGUGGGGCACAUGAAAAUCAAUUCUGCCUCAUUUCUUUGCUUCUUCAUUUCACAUGGAGAUAAUUCUGCUUGGAUGGGAGCUAGACAAGACGCCUGACCUAAGGCAGAUCUAGAAUAUCACGGGUACUGUACUACCUAACCCUUUUGGUACUGUUAAGUCGAUCGUCAACUUUACUGAACUUGAGAGAAAAGAAAGAAGAAUAGAAAGUUUGGAAUAUUGCCAACACCUGAUAUAUAUUGACUUGCUACCACUUGCCCGUUCAAAAUGUGCCAAUCUCUCGGUAGCCAUAUGUAGCUUGAAUUAUCAGCUGCUAGCAAAACCAGAAUAAAGCUUGCACAUGAGCUUCAGAUACUCUACUAUUUUAAUUAGGUUGAAUUUCUUUGUUGGAGCUGGGCAAAAAGCUAAUUGAUGGGAUUUCAUAUGGUGCCAUUUACAUCAAGAAUCUUCUAGAAGGCACGAACUCAACAGGAAAUACAUGAACUGUCGCAGGAAGAAUUAUGUUUAAAAAUAAGUGUCGUGGUUUUAGCUCAAAUUAACUAACAUCACGACACUUGUUUUGAAACUGAGGGGUACUAUAGUUCCUGUGUUUGUUACGAAGGAAACGUGCUAUUGAUCCAUCCUUUUCCAGACAUAAACCUGCCGGGAGCCGGACCACAAUCGUCGUCGGCCGGUGCCGGUGCAUAUAUGUAUAUUGUACUGGUCACGCAACAGCUAGCAAAGAUGCAUGGAUGAUCUGGAUCAACCUCAUCUCUUUGGCAUGUGUUCCUUUCAAUCAAAAGGCAUGAGAGAGGGAAUAAUCACUGACUUUCGGACUACUACGAGAGAAGUGUCAUCCGUACGUUUCUGAUUCUGGCUCAUGCAUUCCCGUGCCGUGUGUACGUACCCAAGUCAAUGCUGCAAAGAUAUUGCUCCUCUUAAUUUAUGCCCUUGUUCUUAUUUUUUAUUUUUUUUAUUACGGGUAGGUUUGCCAAAAUAGGAGCCAUGAUAAGACCUGCAAUGUCAGUUAGUUAUGUACUAGUCCUUCCGUUCCAUAAUAUAAGAGCGUUUUUAACGUUAAAAACUAUUGAAUUCAUGCUUUAGCCAACUCAUUUAAAAGUCUGAAUUGAUGGAGAAAGGUGGACAAUAUAUUUAAACAAUAACACUCUUAUAAUAUAGGAAGGAGAAGUAGUACAUUAUUGGCAAAUUAAUACGGACAUUCUCCUUGCAUCGUAUCGUAUCUGAAUAUGGGCUCAUGAUAUAUAAUAAGGGUAACCAAACAAAAGCGAUUUCAGAUUUUUGUUCGCACUGGUUAUUAUUUUUCUCCCGAAAGAUUCCACAGGGCCACAAACCACAAUUAACCUAGUAUAUACUUUUAUCUAAAAUAUUGUACUAACAGAUUUCCUACGUAUACAAUACACGGAGAAAGCAUGCACUACUUUGCGGAUUUUUUUUUUUGCGGGUAAGCAUCUAGCAUUAUAGCCGCCGAAUCACCCUUACGUACAUUUGUAAACGGUAAUGCACUAGCUUUCGAUCUGUGAGUGCAACCAAAAAGUCCUGGUCGUGAAUCGUAUCAACAUGAAAGCUGUUGAAUACAUUAUGUAUGUGUAUAUUGUGUCUUGGGCUCACCUUCUAGUUUUUUCUGUAUAAUUAAGGUUGUAGUCUCGUCAUGUACACCAUAUAUAUAUGUUUGGUGCACCGAUCAAUGUAAUUGUGUUGCAUAGUCUAUUCUAGUCUUCUACCUGGUAUCUAUCGCACGUCGUUCCCAGACAUAGUCGCCGCCGCCUGCCGCCGCCGCUGCCGGUUCCUCCGGUCGCCACUGCUGCUGCUGGUCGGCGCCGCCCUCCUACCCGACGCUGCCGCCACCCGCCGCCGUCGCGACUUCCUCCUAGCCGCCGCCGCCGGUCGCCGCCGCACCCCUCAGCUUCCACGCCCCUCUCCCACCCGCGCCGCUCCUCCCUCUCCCACCCGCGUCACACCUUCCUCUUCAACCCGUGCUGAACCCUGACCCUAGCCGCCCCACCCGCGCCGUACCUUCCCACUUCCUCCUCGAUGCAUCAUGAGUUCCUUCUCCUUCACCGUCUCCAACCCCUUCACCGGUUUUGAUGUCACCUUCGUCCGUGAUCUCAACAUCCACGAGCGUGUUCCUGUGGUGCAUGAUCAAUCCACCGCGUCCUACUCCGCUUGAAAGCGGUACUUCUCCUUGGCGUUUCGCGAGUACCUGCUCCACGGCCACGUCGAUGGCACCAUGGACUUGAGCCUCAUGAUUCACGACGGCGAGUGGAUGAUCCUCGACGCCACCAUCAUCCACUGGUUCUACCUCACCAUCUCCAAGGACCUCCUCCACACGGUGGUGGAUGAUGACCACGACGCCUCCGCCGUCUGGACCAAGCUCAACGGCCUCUCCACCGACAACAAACUGCAGCGCAAGCUCCUCCUCCAUGGCGAGUUUUAUGGGUGCCAGCAGCUUGACCCGUCCAUCGACGAUCUUUGCAUGCGCCUCAAAAAUCUUGCCGAUGAACUCCAUGAUCUCGGCGAGACGGUUGACGACGAGCUCCUCAUCAGCACCCUCACUGCCGGUCUCAACAAGGACUUUAGGAACGCUGCCUUCAACCUCACCCUCAUCCCGGAGCCCACCUUUGCCAAGGUGGUGGCGUAUCUCAAGUUGGAGGAGCGACAGAUGAAGAUGGCCCGGACUCGGGCGACCCACACCGCCCUUGUUGCCGGCACCCGAGUGGGCUCGGCGCCACCUCCGCCGCGUCCCGCGCCAGUGCCACUGGCCGCGACGGUCGCCUCAUUCCCGCCAUCCUCGGCCGCAGCUAACGGGGGUCGCUGCGGUGGCCGCAAGCAAUAGCUGGGCGCCGGAGCUCACGGAGGAGCCGCCCGCCCCCAGCAGUCGUAUCAGCCGGCCCCGUGGUACGCCGACCAGAACCCAUGGACCGGCGUUGUGCACGCCUACUCCAUGUCGGUUCCCCGCGCCCCUGCCCCGGGUAUCCUCGGUGCGUGGCCUCCUUCUCAUCAGGCGUUUUACGCCACGCCGCAGCCCUACGCGGCGCUCUACAGCCCACUCUCCUACGGACAGUCGUCGCAGCCCACUCUCCUACGGACAGCCAUCGCAGCCUGCCCUCCCACCCACGCCGUGGGACCCGGCGCUCCUGGUGGCCCUAAACUCCGCACCUGUUCCAUCCACCUACAUCAGCGGCGGCGGCUGGUAUAUGUACACUGGAGCUACCGUGCAUAUGGCUGCUCAUCCCAGUAACCUCCACACCUCCCAUCCCGUCCACACCUCUGCUCACAUCACCGUCGGUGAUGGUUCAUCCCUUCACAUAACUCAUAUAGGACAUGCAUCCUUUCCAUUCAUGUCUACUCCGUUGUCAUUACCUAACAUCUUAGUUUCUCCUGAUCUUAUUAAAAAUCUUGUCUAUGUUCGUUCUUUUACACGUGAAAAUAUUGUUAUCGUUGAGUUUGACAAGUGUGGUUUUUCUGUUAAGGACGCUCGCACCCGGAUGAUACUCCACCGAUGUGACAGCCCCGACGAGCUCUAGACAUUCCACUCCACCGCCUCCACCACCUCCGCCACCCCUGUCGCCCUCAUCACUGGCGUGGAUCUCUGGCACGCUCGCUUGGGUCAUCCCAACCCCGCCACCCGUCAUCAUAUACUUCGGAGUUUUUCUUUCACGUGUAAUAAGAUCGACGAUCACUCUGCCAUGCAUGUCGCCUCGGCAAACAUGCUCGUCUUCCUUUUAGGACGUCUUCUCAUGUUGCAUCGUACCCGUUUGAGUGAAUUUAUAGUGAUGUUUGGACCUCUCCAAUUGCAAGUAAUACGGACUAUCUUUAUUACCUUGUCAUACUUGAUGAUUUUUUGCACUAUGUGUGGACAUUUCUGUUGCGGCGUAAGUCCGAUGUAAUUUUCACUCUCACGGCAUUUUACUCCUAUGUUUUCACGCAGUUUGGUCGUCCCAUUCUUGCUUUUCAGACAGAUAACGGGAAGGAGUUGGACAACUUAGCUGUUCGUACUCUCCUCACCACACAUGGCAUGACUUUUUGUCUCACAUGCCCGUACACUUUGCAAUAGAACGGUCGCGCUGAGCGUGUCCUCAACACUCUUAAUGACUGCGCCCGGACGCUUCUCUUUCAUGCCAAUGUGCCUCCGCGCUUUUGGCCUGACGCUCUCGCGACCGCAUCACUCCUCAUUAACAUCUGCCCUUGUCGUACUCGCGGGAACUUUGCACCUCAUCAUCUUCUCUUCUGUGCACCACCCUCUUAUGAUAAGCUUCGCAUUUCCGGCUGUCUCUACUAUCCUAGCAUCGCCUCCACUACGCCACAUAAGCUUGCACCCCGCUCUGUCGCAUGCAUCUUCCUCGGCUACCCACCUAACACUAAAGGAUACCGCUACUACGACCCGGUCUCCCAUCGAGUAUUCACCUCCCGACACGUUUACUUUGAUGAGAAUGUGUUUCCUUUUCAGCAGCAGGUACCUCUCGUCGCCCCGUCGCCACCGGGCACCGGUGACCCUUCGGUGACCCCGUCAGGUGGACGGCCUAGCUCGGCUCUCGGACCGCCUCCGGGCUUUGGCGGUCCCCACGCCGCCGUCAUCGUCACUACCGGCCUCGCCGUCGGCGCCUUCCCCGAUCGCCUCGGUCGUCGCCCCUUCGCCAGCCGCCUCGCCCGCACCCUCGCCCGCGGCCUCGCUGGCUGCCUCCUCAGGCUCGUCUCGGAGUUGUCGUCUCGCUCCCUCACUCAGGCUCGAGCCGGCGUUCACCGCCCGAGUCUGCGGUACUCCAGUGACGAGUAUCUCCUUGCCGCCUCCACCACCGAGUCGUCCCCGAUUACUGUGUUCCCCAGGGCAGCCCUCCGUGAUCCUCACUGGCUUGCUGCGAUGCAGGAAUAGUUCGACGCUCUUCAGCGGAAUCGUACCUGGACAUUGGUUCCCCGGCCUUCUCGCGCCAAUGUCAUCAAUGGGCAAGUGGGUCUUUUGUCAUAAGACCCGCUCGGAUGGUAAACUUGAGGGCUACAAGGCUCGUUGGGUGGUCUACGGGUUUCGGCAGCUAGCUGGCGUUGACUUCACUGAGAAAUUCGCACUGGUUGUCAAACCGGACACGAUCCGCACCAUCCUCCAGCUGGUGGUCUCCCGAGGCUGGCCGAUUCAUUAGAUGGAUGUCUCCAACGCCUUCCUUGAUGGCCAUUUUGAGGAGCAGUUUUACUGUGAGCAGCCCACCAGUUUCAUCGACGCCUCUCUUCCUGGGCAUGUGUGCUUGCUGUCCCGGUCUCUAUACAGUCUCAAGCAAGCACCUCGCGCCUGGUACCAGCAUAUCGCCGGGUUCCUUCAGACACUGGGCUUCAGCGUCACUCGCUCAGAUGCCUCAUUGUUUGUCUAUCCCCGCGGUGACAUGACUGCCUAUUUUCUUCUCUACGUCGAUGACAUCAUCCCGACGGCCUCGUCCGCAACCCUUCUUCAGCAGGUCACCCUCCGGCUGCGUGAUGAGUUUGCUAUCAAGGACUUGGGCGCUCUCCAUUAUUUCCUUGGCACUGAGGUCGUUUGGCGACCCGACGGCUUCUUUCUUCAUGAGCAGAAGUAUACGCAUGAGCUAUUUGAGCGUGUCGGCUUGCUCAAUUGUCACCCCUGUUGCUACUCCUGUUGACACGAAGGCCGAGGUUUCUGCUCUCGAGGGCUCGCCCGCAUUGGAUGCUCCGCUCUACCGGUCCAUCGUCGGUGCUCUCUUCAGUAUCUAACCCUCACCCUGUCGGAUCUACAGUAUGUUGUUCAGCAGGUGUGCCUUCAUAUGCACGACCCUCAUGACUCUCAUUGGACACUCGUGAAACGGAUUCUCUGAUACAUCCGUGGCACGAUGUCCCUUGGCUCAUUCUCUCGGCGUCCACUUCUUUGGAGAUGGCGGCUUAUUCCGACGCGGACUGGGCUGGCUGCCCCGAUACCCGUCGCUCCACCUCUAACUACUGCGUCUACCUCGGUCCUUCCCUCGUCUCGUGGUCGUCCAAGUGACAACCCACCGUUUCGCGCUCCUGCGCAGUGGCCGAGUACCGAGCAGUGGUUAACGUCGUCGCUGAGUGCACCUGGUUACGACAGCUGCUUCAGGAGUUGCAUCAUGAUGUCUACCAGGCUACGGUUGUCUAUUGUGACAACGUCUCCGUGGUGUACCUUUCUGCCAACCCCGUUCAUCAUCGCCGGACUAAGCACAUUGAGAUGGACAUUCACUUUGUGCGUGAGCAGGUGACCCUUGGACGCAUUUUGGUCCUCGAUAUUCCGACCGCCCAACAGUUCGUCGAUGUGAUGACUAAGGGACUCGCUACUUCCACUUUCGAGGAGUUUCGUUCUAGUCUCUGCGUCUCCGGCGCCGCUUCGACUGCGGGGGAUGUUGAAUAUAUUUUGUACGUGUAUAUUGUAUCUUGGGCUAACUUCCUUGUUUUUCUGUAUAGUUGAGGUUGUGGCCCCAUUAUGUGCAACAUAUAUACGUGACUGAUGCAAUGUAAUUGUGUUGCACAGUCUAUUCUAGUCUUCUACAAAAGCUUUUGUGUUAAUAAACUGUUCAAUGGCGCCGCAUCCGUACGUAGUGAUCAGAUUUUUUGCCUGAAGAAAGGACCCAUACCCGCGAAAACAGGACAAAUCAAAUAAGGUGCAUUUUCCCACAAAAAAGUACUCCUAAACACAUGGUGAAGACAUACCUAGCUAGGGCGGUUGGUUCAGGGGCUACUACCAAUAAGCGCCCCCAUAUAGUGCUGUUUAAAAAUAAAUAAAAAUACUAUAUUACUCCCUCCGUCCCAAUAUUCUGGUCUUAAAUUUGUCGAGAUAAGGAUGUACCUAAUACUAAAACGUGACUUGAUACAUUCAUAUUUAGACAAAUCUAAAACAAAAAUUUUGAGACGGAGUGAAUACUAUACUACUCGUAGGUGACAUGUCCGUUGACUCUAUCAAUUUACAACAAUAUUUGGUAGACACUGUGCAAGUUUACGCGUCGACAUGAUGUAUUCAAUACAGCAGUACAUAAAGUGCAUGAUGCAUACGUAGCUACCACCACGCCGGAGGCUCCUUAAUUUUUACCCAUAAUUUGGCCCUAGUCGCUUACCCCAUACAAGGAUGAAACAAGUGAGCCCGGCAGCGAUGCGACGGGUGCAAAAGCGCGCCACGAGUCACUGUUCAAUCCCUUUACCUCCCAUCAAACAGUGGCAAGGAGAGGACGCCGGCCGGCCGGAGCCGGUAAAGAUGGCGCCACCAGUGGUUUACAUGAACACGGCCAUGUAUAUAUAUUCUCCCGGCCGGGGAGAGAGACGGUAGAAUUAGGCCAACUCCACCGCACGAUCCUAAACGGAUGUCCGGUUUAACUGAAUUUUGUCCCUUUAAGGCAGCGAUGGGUUCGUCCGUGUCCGGUCUUGUCCGUUGGAUCGUGCGUGCGUGUAUCGCACGGCCGCACCCCAAAUCACGUUCGCAUUGGACAUGAUUAAAAAAACAGAAAAACGUAAAUAAAAUGACUAAAAAAAGUAAAUAAACACAGUUAAAAAAACAUAAAACAUAGUGUUCACUUAACGGGCACAAAACGGCCAGUUUAACAGUUCACUUAACAACUCAGUGCCAUAAUUAACAUAAAAAAAUAAAAAACGCCGCCCGCGCGCUCCCGCCGCGCCCAUCGAUGUCGUGGCCCUCGCCGUCUUCAGUGGCCGCCGGUGUCGUCGUCGUCGCUGACGAGGUCGACAUAGGCUGGCGGUGUCCAGAGGUGGGAUGGCGGCGCGUGGUACACGGGGGCGGCCUGGAAGGCCGGAGGUGCCUGCACCACCUCCUCCCAUGGCAAGGCCUCCCGCUCCGGUGAUCGCGGCGGCGUGGGGCACCAGUUCACGCCCCCACGGCGUCGGGCAUCUCCGGAGCCGUGCACGACCAACUCCAGUCCCGGCCCACCAGAUCCGGGUGGAACGCGGCCACCGGCGCGUCCUGCAUCGGCUCCUCCGCCGACACCAUGUCUAGCUCGGGGAUGGCGACGUCGCUGGCCUCAAAGAGGGCCAUCGUCUCCUCGAGGCCCGACCAUUGGCGCUCAUCAAGCGUGUUCAUGGAGUCCUCCAUGACACGCUGUAUGAGCCGGGCCUCCUCCUCCGCUGUCAUGCGAGGAAGUGGAGGUGGCGACGGAGACGAUGAAGGUGACGGCGUGGGCGUGAGGCCGCGCACCCGCGUACGCCCCGCGCACCUCCCGUCGUGGCCGCCGCAGCCCCGACACCGUGCCGGCGAAGUAGGACGCGCGCCGCGUGUCGUGCUCGUCCUGGAGCCAGGUGUCCUAGAGGCCGAAAUCAGGGGCGUACCUAUCGUCGAAGUAGAGGUCGUCGGGAAGGAGGCGGCGGCGGCGCUCGAUCUCAUCACGACGCGCACGGCCGCUCGUCGGCACCGGCGGGAUCGGGACCCGGUCGGCGAUGAGGUGCCAGUUGUUGAGGAGGUGGACGUCGCUCCACGGGACCGACGUCCUCGUCUCCCAGUAGCGCCGGCACACAUCGACGCUGAGGUACUGCUGGUCGCGCUCGCUGGCGGGCCUAGGGGUGAUGGUGAAGGGGGCCGGCGCGGGGGCUCGACGGGACGAGCGUGGCGGUGACGCGGGCUCCUCCUUCUUCACGGAACCGCGGCGGCGGCCCGAGGAGGAGCCUGCCUUGCGGUCGUGCUUCUCCUUGCGGCCGUAGUUCCGUAGCCCCAUGGCUGCGGCCGGCCGGCGAGUUCGAGGACGGGAGCGGCUAGGGUUUGGGGGUGUCGGCUUUCGAGGGGCAGAGAGGGGCCGAAGUGGGAAGUGUGGACGAGGACCAGUCCACGGGUCCCAUUUAAGAAGGACGACGACAGUUCAAUGGCCGGAUGACAGGUGGGGCCACCCGCGCGUGCGCAUUGAUAUUGGCGGGUGGGAGGUAGGUGGCCGCCUGCCACGCGGCCCCGACGCGGACGAGCGCGCGUCCAUUUGCCGUCCGCCGCGACCCAUACCCGACGCAAGUUUGCGCUCGAAAUGGGUCCGUCCGGACACAAAACGGACAAGGUGGGUCCGGACCGUCGCGCGCUGGGCCACGUGGUUUGUUCAUUUUACCUCAAACGAACGGUCCGGACAGAAUAGGGUCGCGCGCUGGAGCUGGCCUUAACAGUGCACACGUAUCAUCGCCAUGAUUCAUCGCACAUGACAGAAUGACAGGCGCAAAAGUGCAUGCACGCAGCGUGCAGCAGUGUACCGUAAUGUCAUCGGCGAUCUUUAUCGCCGCCGCUACAGUGUAUCUCGCCUCUACUUCUACUGCCUUUUCUCUCAGGUCCUCCUUUCUCCUAUGAUGAGAGAGAGAAAGAUGGGGGAGAUCUCGAGGUAGAGGGAGGCGAGUGGCGACGGAGUGCAAUAUUGCAGCGUAGCUGGAGAUCUACGGCACGUAGGGCUCUUCAUGAGGAAUCCUUAGGGUGGGGAGAAGGCGAUGCCGGCAUGGUCCCGACAAGUACUCCUACUACCACGUCUAGGUGAGUUGGUGCCAAGGCCUAAGGAUUCACGUGCCCCAUACGUCAAAAACCCUGCGGAAUCGCCAGGGUUUGCAGGGGCGUUUAGUGCCGUUUAUUUCAAGGUAUUGAUUCAUCCAUCGGUCGACCAAUCUCCUGUUCAGGUCACUGCGAGGUGGAUCAAAUCAUCCAGUUCAUUGGUGUAAUUACCAUCUGUGUCCAUGCAGGUAGUUCAUUGUUGUAAUUACCAUCUGUGCCGAUGGAGGUAGUACUGCUGCAGAACGCAGUAAGUCGAUCCACAUGUCCCGGCAAGUGCAUACAGGCUUCUGAGUGAUCCAGUCCAGCCGUAAUUAAGCUAGGAGAGUACCUACUUUUUUUUUGAAAGAUCCAACAAUUGCUGGCGUUUCAUUGAUCAUAGCCGAAAGCAGCGGGAAAACAACAAUGGUGAUGAGGAUCCUAGGAUCAAAGUUUUAUGGUUUUGGGGAGUGCCAUGCACAGCCGAAAAACCCUAGUAACAAGAUAGCUAUUANNNNNNNNNNNNNNNNNNNNNNNNNNNNNNNNNNNNNNNNNNNNNNNNNNNNNNNNNNNNNNNNNNNNNNNNNNNNNNNNNNNNNNNNNNNNNNNNNNNNNNNNNNNNNNNNNNNNNNNNNNNNNNNNNNNNNNNNNNNNNNNNNNNNNNNNNNNNNNNNNNNNNNNNNNNNNNNNNNNNNNNNNNNNNNNNNNNNNNNNNNNNNNNNNNNNNNNNNNNNNNNNNNNNNNNNNNNNNNNNNNNNNNNNNNNNNNNNNNNNNNNNNNGACGUUGUCUCGGAUGCGCUUGAUGAUCGCCGGCACACACGGCGGUUUUUGCCUCAAGGUGCUGUUGUUUCUCUCUUGCCAGAUCUCCCAGCAAGCCAGCCAGCACAUCGUUCACACGCCCUUUCGCCAUUGGUGCGGUGUUUGCUCCAGUAUACCUUGCGCGACAGUUGUGGAACUGUCAUGGUGCCAGCUCUCGGCGGGGGUGAGGGCAGAGCAGCCGUGCCACGAUCCCAGCUCGGCCCACACCCGUCCGGUUUCCUGACAGCUCCAGAAGAGAUGGCACGACGACUCCAGGUUACGGACGCAGAGCUGGCAGAAGUAAGCAUUUGGCCAUCCCCGCCGUUGAAGUCUGUCGUUGCACCAGAGCCGGUCCUGGAGAAGCAACCAGGCAAAAAUUUUGAUUUUGCCCGGUGCCCAGGCUUUCCAAAUCAGCCCGUCGAAAUCGGUUGCCCUUCUUCCCUGGAACUGCGUGAGGUAGGCCGACCGGGCAGUGUACUUGCCUGAGGCCGCUCUACUCCACCUCAAAACGUCCGGCACGCCUGGUUGCAGCUAUGCGUCCGUCCCUUGGAGCAAACGAUGAAGGGCAAGGACGUCUGGCAGCAGGUGACGGUUGUUGCCGUGAGCAAGGUCACGGAUCCAUGUGUCAUCCUCAAGGGCCUCCCGCACCGAUCUGUUCUUGCGCCUGGAGUAGCUAAACAGCGUUGGGAACUGCUGCGAGAGGCGGCCCUGGCCAAGCCAUGAAGAAAGCCAGAAGGAUGCCCUGGCUCCGUCGCCGAUCGCCACCCUGGUCGAGGCCGCGAAGAGCGCCUUGUCCGCGCCGUCGCAGGGCAGCUCGGUGCCCACCCAAGGGCGCUCUGGGUGGUGCCAGGCAGCCCAGAGCCAUCGCAGUCGCAACGCCCUGCCAAAGCAUUGAAGAUCGGGGAUGCCCAGGCCACCUUGCUCCGUCGGGGCGCAGACCGCUGGCCAUUUGACUUUGCAGCUGGCGCCUGUGACCUCGUCGUCCUGGCGCCAAAGAAAGCGACGCCUGCACUUGUCGAUUUCUCUGAUGAUCUUCUGCGGGACACGGAGAAUGGUUAGGGCGAAGGUUGGCAUAGCACUCAACACGCAUCGGACAAGGACGCGGCGGCCGGCCAUCGGUAGAAGCUUGCCCUUCCAGCCCGCAAGACUAGCCUUGAUCCUGUCGAGGAUGAACUGCAUGUGCACCAAACGCAGUCGUCCUGUGGAGACCGGCAACCCUAGGCAUUUGAUUGGGAAUGGGGCAAUGGAGCCUGCAAAGCCCUGAAGCACCUCGUCGACGUUGAUGUUCUCGCAACGGAUCAGUGAGACCGUGGAUUUGGCCGGGUUAAUACAGAGUCCCGUUGCCGCGUCGAAAUCGCUGAGGAUGUGCAACAAGGAGUCUACCUCUUCGCGUCUAGGGUUUAUGAAGAUAAUUGCAUCGUCCGCGUAGAGGCUCACACGAAGCGCGAGGUCACGACCAGGUAGACGAUGAAGCAGCUGCUAAUCCACCGCCGCCGUGAUCAGAUGAUGCAGUGGGUCAAUGGCCAGAAUGAAGAGGAACGGGGAGAGCGGGUCUCCCUGGCGUAGUCCAUGGUGAUGAAGAAUGCUUGGGCUGACAACGCCGUUGAGGGAGACCGCCGAAGAGGCCGAGACGAGCAACCUAGCCACCCAGUCCCGCCAGCGCGCACUAAACCCUAGUUGUUGAAGCAGUUCUAGCAGGUAUUCCCAGGAGACGGUGUCGAAAGCUUUGGCUAUGUCUAAUUUUACAAGCAGGCCAGACACUUUGCGGCGAUGGAGGGCCCGGAUGGAAUUCUGCACAAACAGGAAACUGUCGUGUAUGCACUUGGACUUCAUGAAUGCCGUUUGCGCCGGUGAGAUGAUGGAGCCAAUGACUGACGCAAGUCUGAUCGACAGAACCUUGGAGAUGAGCUUGGUUACAGAAUGGAUCAAACUGAUGGGCCUGAAGUGGGUGAUCUCCGUUGCACCAUCCUUUUUUGACAGAAGGACGAUUGUGGCGUUGUUGAUCACCGACAUGUCGCCGCCUGCCAGGUUUUAGAACUGGUGGAAGACGGCCAUGACGUCGGCCUUGAUGAUGGGCCAGCACGAAAGGAAGAAAAUGCCAUUGAACCCAUCAGGCCCCGGGGCCUUCUCUUGCGGGGAUUUGCAGAUCGCCGCCCAAACCUCGUCCUCGGUGAAUGGUUUAUCAAGGCCAGUUGCCGGCAGAGAUGGAAGGUGAAUGGCCCCCCAGUUGAUGGUGCGGCUGCGAGGGAGUUUUGUGCCCAGCGAUGAACGGAAGUGCUCGUGGAUGAUCCGCUCCUUGUCGCCAUGGGAGGUGGCGAUGGAGUCCCUGGUGUGUAGGGCCUGAAUGAAGUUUUUUAGCGCCGCGAGUUGAUCUUUGCCUGGAAGAACGCCAUCUUGGCGUCACCCGCGCAUAGCCAGGUCACGCGCGAGGGCUUUCUCUUGUGCGCCCUCUCGAUGGCGGCGAGCCCCAGCACAUGCAUCUUUAGGUUCUUCCGCAGCUGGAGUUCACCUACUGACAACUGUCUACUUUCCUAAGCUAUGUCGAGGCGUAGCAUGAUCUCGUUUGCGAUAUGCAUCUGAAGCUUCGUCUCACUGAAGAAGCCUUUCGCCCAAAUCUUCAGAUCUCGUGCCACCCGUGAGAGCUUGGUGCUGAUUCUUUUGAAAGUGCAACUGGAGGCUACUAGACGAUCCCAUGCCCUCUACACCAUAAUGUGGAAACGAGGAAAUCUUGGCCAGAAGGACUCAAAGCGGAAGCGGGCCGCGCGGCGAGGGGCCGCCACCUCCGACAGCAACAACGGGCAGUGAUUAGAGCACGAGGUCGAAGCGGCGUGGAGCAGAUAGGCGGGGAACAUGGAUGUCCAUGCCAUGGUACAGAAGAAUUUAUCGAUGCUGACUAAGGUUGGAGACGCGCGCUCGUUGCUCCAUGUAAAUCUUCUGUUCUUACACUUGAUCUCCUUCAGGCCUGCCCGAAAUUUCCCCAUGGUCCUAUGGUUUAUGUUGGUGUUGUUUUUAUCACGUGCUUCGUAGAUCAGGUUGAAGUCGCCGUUGAUGAGCCAGGGGCGUCUGGGGGCGGAGCCGCCCGUGCCAACACUGCCAGAAACACGUCCUUUCUACCCUCAUCGACUGGGCCGUAUAUUGUCGUGAGCCAGAAUGUAGCAGCGCUGGCGAUGAUGGUGAUCCUGGCUGUGAUGGAGAAGCAGCCAACGGCCUGCGAAACCACAUCUACCCGAUUCCUAUCCCAGAAGAUAGCAACACCGCCCCUCGUGCCCACGGCAGGGAGGACGAUGCAGUCGGCAAGCCGCGAUCCUCCAGUUUCCCUAACUAGUGCCCUGGUCCAUUCGUCGAUCUUCGUUUCCUGAAGGCAGAGGAUGGCGAGCCGAUGCGUUUCUGCCGUUUCCAAAACUACUUCCCGCCGUGCCGGCGAGUUCAAACCCCGCACAUUCCAGCACAUUAUUGGGCAGUUUGUGUCACUCAUUGGGAAACGAGAGAUAUCUCCGGCAACUACUACUACUUUGAAGCAAACACGGGUACACCACCAUCGGUCCGGGGGGUCGCCGGCGGCCACCAACAGGCCCCAAAUUCCACCGGCGAACGACUACAUGUCGCUCGCUAAGUUGACGUAAACUAUUACAAUGCAUGAAUGAACCUAACUCAACCCAGCUAUGAGCCUGGGGUCGCCGGAGACAGCUAUCCUUAUGGAUCCCUAACAUGGAGAGGUGGUGGCCUGCGAGGCCUCUCCGUCUGGGCCGUGCAUGCCCGCUACGAUCCUGAGUGUCGUGACGUCGAGGUUGGUGAGCUUCGCGAUGACCUUGAUGUCGGAGUCGGACAGGGGCUCGUCGAAGCGUCGGAUCAGCGCCUCGGCAUCCUUGGCCAUCAUGGUCUCCUUGGGCCCGAGGAUGCCGAGGCCGUGGACGAUGCGGAGCGUGGCCCGCUGGCUGACCGGGACGGCGGACGGGUUCUUCGCCUGAUGGGCACUCUGACGGGAUGGCGCCGCGGCAGGCCUGGAGCGCGAGGGAGUCUUGGCGCGGGUGACGGGCUUGCCGAGCACGGAUGGCGCGGCGUUGACGAAGAGCUGGGCCGCAGCACCCUCCCCGCCGACAUCCGCGAUCUGCAGGUGGCACACCUGGGAGGUUACCGCACCAAGCUGCACAGAGUGGGUGGUGGCCGGCUUGGGGGAGUGACGGGCUAGCAAGAGGGCCGGGCCCAUGUCGAUGCUAUCUUCGGCGCCGCUGCCAGCGCCCUCCUGGUCGUUGAAGCUCAGCGGCAUGGCCGUGGCUGCCGCAGCCACACUGUCGACGGCCGCUGCCCUUGUGUCCACCCUAGGUGGAGGCGGCAGCUCCUUGUCAGCUACGGCGAAGAAGGUGCCCACUGGAUCAUUGACCUGCGCGCUGGCUGACGCCAGAAGCAGGGGCUUGGGGGGGCGCAAGCAGAGGGUUGGAGGGGGCAGCCAGCGCGCGCGAUGAGGACGCAGCACGGGAGCGGCUUGGCCCCGCCCCUCCCCCAGAGCGGCGCCCCCUGUGGUCGUGGUCGGAGCGUCUUUCAUUGUAGGGGCCGCGGUCGCGGCGCGAGGAUGGGGUGCGGCUACGACGGCGCUCAGGAGCGGGGGCGGGGGCGGCCGGCUCCUUGCCGCGGCCACGCCCGAGGAGCGUGUCCUUCCAAGACCUCCUCUGGCCGCCAUCGCCGUCGCCGUCGUGGCCGCGCCGGUGGCCCACCGAAGGCAUGCCCUUGGAGCAAGAGGACGCGACUUGCGCGGGCGGGCACAGACGCGGCCCCAUGUCCAGCGCCGGCCUGCCAUCCUCCACACCGGCCACCCAGCCCCCCGCGUGUGGGAAGCGUGGGUACGGGCGGUCGUCGUCGUCGGAGGACGGGAGGCCACUCUGCCCGGAGUUGGAGGAGCGCGGGGACAGGGGCGCCCAGUCCUCGACCAGGUCAAUGUGCACUAGCACAUCCCAGCGCAGCAGGUUCGGCGGUGGCGCGACGGCCCGGCUAGGGGGCGAGAAGCCGAGCAUCUCCUCCACCCGGCUGGCACCGCGGGCAUGCUUCCAGAGGGUACACUUGGUGGGGAUGUGGUGCAACUGCCACACCCACACCCAGACCGCAAACAGCUUCGUGUCCGUGCGCUCGAACGUGCGGCUGUCGAGGCGGUCGAUGAUGACCGCGUCGCCCAGCGCAUCCUUCGCGCCUUCCAGGGUCCAGAGCUACAUCGGCAGCUUCUCCAUGACGACUCGCACGUGCAGCAUCCAGGUGUCGUGGAUGGCGUGCGUGUCCUCCCUCCAUGGCUCUAGCAGGAAGGAGACGCCAUCCACCACGAUCGAGCCCCUCUGAACGGCGAGGUCCUUGUGGGCCGGCAUGGUGAAGUGGAUGAAGAAGUCUUCUGGGUCAUGGUUGGUGACGCGGAGGAGGUGCGCCGGGAUCUGGAACUCCCGCUCGACGGUGCGGCCGAUGGAGAGAGGGAUCGCCGCGUGGAGCUUGCUCACCGCGGUGACCACCACCGCGUGCUGCUGCAGCAGGAAGAUCUGCUGCUCCAUCUCCGGGGUGGAGGCGAUCACCUUGUGGCUUGUUCUCGGCCGGCGCCCGUGGUCGACGCAGGGGGCGUCCGGCGAGGCCAUCUCCGGUGUAGGAGGGCUGGCCUGGGAGGGGAAAACUAGCCGGUCGUGCACUGGACGAGCCUGCAGCCCGUCCCUCUCCUUGAACCUCCGGUUUUGGGGGCACUCCUUGCCAAUGUGGCCCGGGCGCUUGCAGAUGAUGCAGUGAAGGGGGUCGUGGCAGUCUAUGCGGCGGUGGUGCGGGCUGAGGCAGCGGAAGCAGAGGCCUCUGAACUUGCUUAAGAAGGCGUCGCGGCCUGGCGCAUGCGGACGUCGCCCGAAUCCAGAACCGCGGCGGUGCCCCGAGUGGACCGGCGGGGAUUUACUUGCCUUCUUGCUCCUGCGGGACUGGUACAUCGUCCAUCCACCAUCAAUGGCGGUCGUCCUGGAAGGGGGGGGGAGGGGAAGGCACAAUCACAAUGGAUCGGAGACGUUGCUGCCCAGCCGGGGGUGGCAGGUCCAGAUUCAUCGGUCCGGACGGCAGGGCGCCCUCGAGGUCGGCGCUCCGCUGCAGGAUUUGCGGAGGCGUCCCCCACUCUAGCGCGGCCGGAGAACACGGAGAUGUAGGAGCGGAGGAAGAUCCUGGGGAUCCACGGCCUCCCCCUGAGCCAGGGCAUUGAAGGCGAGCCGGUGGGGAGGCGAGAGAGCGGGGCGGAUCCAUCGGCGGCAUGGGAUGCCCCGUCAUUUCAGGCGGGGCGGCACGGAGGGAGGGGUUGGGGGCGGUGGCCGCCGCGGCCGGAGUGGCCAGCGGCGCGGGGCGGGGCGCGGAGAGCACUCCCUCUCUCGCUCACUCCGAUUCUCCCUCAUAGUUCUCGUGAUCGAAACAGGGGGUUUGGAUCACGCUCCCAAGCGUAAGACCGUCUGAGGCCGACCUCGUACCUACUUUUUGGCUGAAACCACGCUCUGCGAACCUAGUAUUAUUACUUUGAUACCUGGUACUUGCGUAUAAAUGAUAAACUAAUUUUGCAGAUUAGUUAAAGGGAGGAGUAGCAUAUAGUACUAUGUGUACGUCUUAAGCACCAAUGCUCCUUUGGGGGUUCAAAUAUAAUAGGACCCAUUUUCUUUAGUUGGAAAGAGAGGUCAGCUUACUGGCGGUACCGACUUUGUUUGAAUGCAGUAAUGUGCAUGCUCGUGAAGAAAUACAUAAAAAUUCGUGGCGUUAUUUCUAUUUUUAAGCAGUUACUCCCUCCAUCCCAUAAUAUACUAGUGUCAAAAACGUUUUAUAUUAUAUGACGGAGUAAUAGAUUCAAAUUAGAGAAAUUGCUUUUGGGAUACACAUCGCCCAUGAAUCCACCUACAGAAAUUGGAUUCACGAUUUGCGUGGCACCCCCUCGAUCACCUCUAUCGCUGAUCUGUUCAAGCUAUGGAACGUCCUGUUAAACUUUGGGGUGUCGUUCUGUUGACGACUUACGAGUAAUGGUCAGUUCUCGGCAAGCUCGGCUCACAAUUCGUUCUUCUUGGGGAAGGAGUUUUCGCCGGGCGUGAUGAUAAUGAUAUAGAUCUAGGAUAGGGUCAUAGGCCUGACCUAUACGCCCUACCCAAGGUCACUACCCUAGAAGCAAAGACAUCCAAGACACAACAUGGAGUACCAAUUGAAGACGUCGAGUGCAAUCCACUCGACCAGCCACCUCACUCGGGUACCCCUCCCUCUUAAUAUCAUUCGACCAUACAGGAAAUCACUCGACCUAUCGAAGACCAGGAGUCGACCAGAAUAGCAACGGUCAGGUGUCCACUCCGUAGUCCUUAAGAUCAUUAAAAGCAUUUUAUGGCUGGCAUUAUCAGUAAGGCCCCAUCUUUAUGUACAUUGAACUCUUGCUAACGGGGGAUGGCUGGGGUCCUGGCGCACUCUAUAUAUAAGCCACCCCCUCCUCUGGCACAAGGGUCCGCACCCCCUGUAACACACACUCUCAUAAUCCAGUCGACCGCCUCAGGGCACCGAGACGUAGGCCUUUUACCUCCUCCGAGAGGGGCCUGAACUCGUAAACACUUGCGUACAAUCUCACCGUAGCUAGGACCUUGCCUCCUCAUUGGUACCCCUAUACUUACUGUCAGACUUAGAACCACGACAGUUGGCGCCCACCAUGGGGCAAAGCGUCUUAGCAACUUCCGGCGAGGUUGCAUUUUCUUCGAUCUUCAUCAGCAUGGUUUCCGGCGGCGGUUUGGUUAUGGGCCGCGAGUUCCGACUCGGCGUGCUCACUUUCGUCGCCGACGACUCCGCCUAGCUCCAGGAGGCCCCCCUUGAUGUCGAGGCUCGCCCGGCUCGUGGCUCGUCGCACUUCCGUGCGAGUUCCUGCGGCGUCCUCCUUCGGCAGCCGUCUUCCCUGUACUAGUCGGUCAUCACGUCGUCGUCUCACUCUACUGGGCCGCCGUAAGCGGUCUGGGCGUUCGUGAAUCCAGCGGUGUGUGAGACACACGGCGGCUCGUCAGACGUUCACCCACCAAGUCGCAGCGAUUGAGCCCGACGUAUUUCGCGGAUCGGUCGACCUGUCGACUGAUUUCGCGGAUACCUUUUCCGAGAGCGGGAGUUGUGACCUCGUGGCGGAGGUCCUCAUGGUCGACUCCCAUCGCGGUCCUCCUAGAUUUCAUCGCAGCAGCGACGGCGGGAGAAGCGACGGCCCAUCAUUCAACCAUGAAGAGUAUCAACCCCAAUCUCUCAGCUCGCAGCAGAGGGAGGAGCUGCAUCGCCACAACAUGGAGGCUCUCCAGACCCCCAUCAUAGGGGAAGCCGCUGGGGCCCGAGCCUUGGAGGCAGUGCGCCUGGCCACUCUGGCUGAGCGCACUCCUCUGGAGAAUCUCCAACAUUCUCUCGACGAGCGUGCUCGUCGACUGAUCCCCGAGUCUAGUUGACGUCCACGGCAAUUGUUUCCAUCGGAAACUUAGGUAUUCCGCACACCGAUUCAGAAUCUUGGAGCCGCUGCGUGUAUUGCGGAGUCCAUUCAUCCGUACCAUUUGGAGGCUGGAAGAGGCUUGGAACAUAUCAGAACGCUGCUCCGAGCAGCAGGAGACCAGAACUCUGCUGUGUCCGAGUCGCAGAAUAGAAUCCACAACAGAUCAGUAAGAGCAGACACCGUUUAGUCGCCACACAGUCCCAGUUCGCCUUUGAGGCAUGGAGGUCGUGAUCACCGCCCGCAUCGGCGGAAUAGCUCAUGGAGAAUAUGAUCGUGAGUACGCCCGCGACAACCACCGUCGGGCGCCUUCGCCCCUUUCCAGGGACAGGUCAUACGCGCCCCGACGAUAUGACGACAGGUGUCCGUAUGGGAAUGACCGCAGAGUUCCAGUCGACCCCAGAGAGCCCGUCUUCGACGCAAGGUCCGUCCUUGUGGAGGGUUUGAUCGACUGGAACAAAGCAUACAGAGAAGGGCUGGAUCGAGACAGACCCAGUGGAAGCAGAGUCCACGUUUCCGACCCAGAAUGUUUCGAAAGAGCCAUCAGAGCCGCUGAGAUUCCUCAUAACUUCAGACUGGCAACUGGCGUCAGUAAGUUCAUAGGAGAGGCGAAGCCCGAUACUUGGCUUGAAGACUACCGAGUGGCUGUGCACAUUGGGGGCGACAGCGAUGAGGUGGCCAUGAAGCACCUUCCUCUGAUGCUUGAAGGUUCUGCCAGGGCUUGGCUGAAUUAGUUGGCCCCUGGGAGCAUUUUGAGUUGGGAUGAGUUAGCCCGAGUGUUCACUAGAAUGUUUGAGGGCACCUGCAAGAGACCUGCUAGUCUACGGGAGUUGCAACAUUGCAUGCAGAAACCGAAUGAAACCUUGAGAGACUAUAUCCAGAGAUGGAUCACUCUGCACCACAUAGUGGAGAAUGUGUCAGAUCACCAAGCAGUCUAUGCCUUCAAGGAAGGCAUUCGCUACAGAGAGCUCAACCUAAAGUUCGGUCAGACUGGAGAUAUGUCUUUGACUCGGAUAGUGGAGAUUGCCUAACGGCGAAGAGGAGGCCCGACGUAGGAGUGGCAAGCACAAAACAGGCGCCUAGGACACCGACGAUGAAAUUCCAAUCGGAAGCAGAAGCGAAAGGCUGAGGCAGCAGGUCCUGCCGAGGCAACAAUGUUGAGUCAAGGAAAGUUCAAAGGGAAACCCAAAGGGCCUUGGAUCCCUAAGAAAGUGAAGGACCAGGAAGGAAAUGAUGUGAUGGAUUUGCCGUGUCAUAUUCACACCAAGAAAGAUGAGGAGGGGAACCUGAUUCUCCCCAAGCAUACCACGGGACAAUGUCGACUCCGAAUCCAGAACUUUCAAGAGAGUAACCCCAGUGAUAAGGACAAAGAGUCUGAGAAGGAAGAAGAAGAUAAGGAUGAUGAUGGUGGUUACCCCAAUGUCAAUGCCACCUUGGUGAUUUUUGCUAAUAUCGAGUGCAAAAGUCGACUGAAGGUCAUUAACAGAGAGGUAAACAUGGUUGCUCCGGCAACACCAAAGUAUUUGAAGUGGUCACAAACCCCCAUUACAUUCGACCAAUCCGACCACCCGGAACGCGUAGCUACCCCUGGGCGGCAAGUGCUGGUGGUCGACCCAGUCGUGGGAGGCACCCGACUGACCAAGGUUCUGAUGGAUGGUGGCAGUGGUCUGAAUAUUCUGUAUGCUGAGGCCCUCAAAGGAAUGGGCAUUCCGAUGUCCAAACUCAGCGAGAGCAACAUGCGGUUCCAUGGAAUCAUCCCAGGAAAGAAAGCCGAAUCACUCAGCCAGAUCACUCUUGACGUGGUUUUCAGCGAUGAGAAGAAUUUCCGCAAGGAGAAGUUGAUGUUUGAGGUUGUGGAUUUCCAGAGUGCAUAUCAUGCCAUUCUGGGCAGACCUGCUUAUGCUAGCUUUAUGGCUCGACCGUGCUAUGUAUGUCUCAUGAUGAAGAUGUCUGGCCGCAAAGGCGUAAUAACGGUUUCCAGUAACCGUCAAUGAGCAGAAGAUUGUCUUCAAGAUGCGGCAAAGAUAGCAGAUGAGCAGAUGGCAGCAGUAGAGUUUCAAGAGUACCAGAAGACUGCAGAUCCGAGUGAUUUGCUGCAUGCUAAGAGGCCUGCCUUGGAAUCCACAUUUCAGUUGGCCGGCGAGACCAAGCCAGUCCACAUUCACCCGACCGACCCCAAUGCUGCUCCGACCCAUAUCUCGAUGACACUCGACGGCAAAUAGGAAGAAGCGCUCAUCCGGUUCCUUCAUGAGAACUGGUACGUCUUUGCAUGGAAGCCAUCUGACAUGUCAGGUGUACGCAGGGGACUGGCUGAGCACCGUUUGCGAGUCAACCCAAAAGUAAAACCUGUUAAGGAGCAUCUCCGUUGUUCCACCACGAAGAAGAGAAAGGCCAUUGGCGAGGAGGUGGCUCGGCUCCUGGCUGCUGAGUUCAUCCACGAGAUAUACCACUCUGAGUGGCUCACCAAUGUUGUUAUGGUUCCCAAGAAAGACAAAUCACUCUGAAUGUGUAUUGACUUCAAGCACAUCAAUCGGGCCUGCCCCAAAGAUCAUUUUCCUCUGCCCCGCAUCAACCAGAUAGUUGACUCAACUGCGGGAUGUGAGCGAUUGUCCUUCCUGGACGCUUAUUCCGGGUACCAUCAGAUCCGACUGUAUGGACCCGAUGAGAUAAAGACGGCUUUCAUCACCCCGUUCGGGUGUUUUUGCUAUGUUACUAUGCCCUUUGGCCUCAAGAAUGCUGGUGCCACAUUCAUGCGCAUGAUUCAGAAGUGCCUGCUCACUCAAAUCAGUCAGAAUGUGGAAGCAUACAUGGAUUACAUAGUGGUUACGUCACGCAAAGGUUCUGACCUGCUGGCUGACCUUGCUGAAUCCUUUACCAACCUAAGAAGGUAUGAUAUCAAGCUCAAUCCAUCAAAAUGCACAUUCGGAGUCCCAGGCGGAAAGUUACUUAGUUUUCUCAUUUCAAAAUGAGGGAUCGACGCAAAUCCAGAGAAGAUUGGCACAAUCCUCCGAAUGAAACGCCCCGUGCGUGUGCAUGAUGUUUAGAAGCUUACUGGUUGUUUGGUUGCAUUGAGUCGAUUCAUCUCAUGCCUCGGUGAAAAGGCACUGCCUCUUUACCGACUGAUGAAGAAGUCUGACAAAUUCGAGUGGAAUGACGAAGCUAAAGCAGCGUUUCAGGAGCUCAAAGCCCUGCUUUCCACCCAACCGGUGCUUGUUGCUCCGGUUAGCAAGGAGCCCCUACUGCUUUACAUCGCAGCCACGGGACGAGUUGUUAGCAUAGUGCUCACAGUCGAGCGAGAAGAAGAGGGCAAAGCUUUCAAAAUUCAGCGCCCUGUGUAUUAUAUUUCAGAAGUUUUAACCCCGUCCAAGCAGAGAUAUCCUCACUAUCAGAAGCUUGUUUAUGGGAUUUACCUGACCACUAAGAAGGUUGCACACUAUUUCUCUGAUCACUCAAUCUCAGUCAUUAGCGACGCUCCAUUGUCAGAGAUUCUGAAUAACAGAGAUGCAACCCGUCGAGUGGCAAAAUGGGCGAUUGAACUUCUUCCUUUAGAUAUCAAGUUUGAGGCAAAGAAGGCCAUUAAGUCUCAAGCAAUUGCAGAUUUCCUCGCAGAGUGGACAGAACAACAACAGCCGACUCAGAUUCAGUCGGAACAUUGGACCAUGUUCUUUGAUGGAUCCAAGAUGUUGAAUGGCUCAGGUGCAGGAGUGGUCUUAGUGUCCCCACGAGGAGACAAGCUCAGUUAUGUCCUCCAGAUUCACUUUGAUUCUUCAAACAAUGAAGCUGAGUAUGAGGCACUAUUGUAUGGGUUGCGUAUGGCCAUUUCACUCGGCGUCCGACGCUUGAUGGUAUAUGGCGACUCAGACUUAGUGGUUAACCAAGUAAUGAAGGAAUGGGACGUCAGGAGUCCCGCAAUGACCGGUUAUUGCAACACAGUGAGAUAGCUAGAGCAGAAGUUUGAGGGCUUAGAGCUCCACCACAUACCAUGAAUCAAGAAUCAAGCUGCUGACGAUCUGGCGAAGAUAGGUUCCACUCGGAAGCCUAUCCCCAGCAAUGCGUUCUUGGAGCAUCUCCAUACCCCAUCUGUACAAGAAGAUCCCUUCAAGGAAGAGCCCCCUCAAUCGAUAAGUUCAACUGUGAGAUCGAGGUUCCAGCCGUGGUCGAAUUGAUCAUGGAAGUCUUGGUGCUUACACCUGACUGGACAACACCAUACAUUGCAUACAUUCUCAAAAAGGAGCUACCAGGGGAUGAAGAUGAUGCCCGUCAGAUAGUCCGUCGAUCGAAACCUUUCACCGUGAUGAAAGGACAGCUUUAGAGAGAAAGUGUCACAGGAGUGGCUCAACGCUGCAUCACCCUGGAAGAAGGUCGAAUGAUCCUGAACGAUAUCCACUCGGGGACCUGUGGUCACCAUGCGUCCUCUCGGACCAUCGUGGCCAAAGCAUAUCGAGCGGGAUUCUAUUGGCCUCGAGCAAAUGAGAUGGCGAAAGAUAUAGUUGACAAGUGCGCAAGUUGCCAGUUCUACUCCAACAUGUCCCACAAGCCUGCAUCUGCCUUGAAGACUAUUCCACUCGUCUGGCUGUUUGCAGUCUAGGAAUUGGAUAUGGUUGGGCGCUUCAAGACUGGUGCAAGUGGUUUCACCCAUUUACUCGUAGCAGUCGACAAGUUCACCAAGUGGAUCGAAGCCAAGCCCAUCAAAAACCUUGGAGCAGGCACUGUCGUUAGUUUGAUCAAGGAGUUGAUAUUCAGAUAUGGAGUUCCUCACAACAUUACCAUAGAUAACGACUCCAACUUUGAUUUUGAUGAGUUCAAGGCGUUCUGCACAUCCCAAGGCACUCAGGUCAACUAUGCGCCCGUCGCACACCCGCAGUCGAAUGGACAGGCAGAAAGGGUGAAUGGUUUAAUCCUUCAAGGGUUAAAGCCUCGAGUGAUGCGUGACCUUAAGUAUACUGCUGGAGCUUGGGUGAUUGAAUUGCCAUUGGUCCUAUGGGGGCCGAGAAAAACGUCCAACCGGUCGAUUGAUCGAACCCCUUUCUUCCCAGUGUACGGUGCUGAGGUUGUGCUUCCGAGUGACUUGCUGCACAAUGCUCCCCGAGUGGAACUGUUCUCAGAAGCUGAAGCAAAGCAAGCACGUGAAGACGCAGUCGAUCUCUUGGAGGAAGAGCGUGAGAUGGCUUUGGUUCGGUCGACCAUGUAUCAGCAAGAUCUACCUCGAUUCCACGCUCGCAAUGUCAGAGGUUGAGCAUUUCAGGAAGGAGACCUUGUGCUCCGAGUGGAUCAGAAACGACCUCACAAGCUCGCUCCGGCCUGGGAAGGUCCCUUCAUCAUCACCAAGGUGCUUCACAAUGGAGCGUACCACAUCUACAAUGUAGCCAAGAAAAUGGACGAGCCACGCGCAUGAUACGCAGAGCUGCUUCGUCCUUUCUAUACCUAAAAUCACUCGACCCGACGAGUUGUAAUAAAAGCACUUCAGUUUGUUUUCAAAAGAAAAGAUUUUUACAGUAUCUUAAUGACUGGUUCCCCGUAAUCACUUGUGUCCAAAUCCCCCAGUGGGUGGCUUAGCCACGAACCUGAUUCGCCUAAGUUAAAAACAUCCCGAGGGGAGAGCAAUCCUCCCACUCGGGGGCUUAUCUGCGGCCCCGUAAGUUAAAAAAACACCCCGAGUGGAGAGCACUCCUCCCACUCGGGGGCUUAGCCGCGACCCUGAAAUCGCCUAAGUUAAAAACAUUCCGAGUGGAGAGCAAUCCUCCCACUCGGGGGCUUUGCUGCGACCCCAUACUCGCCUAAGUUAAAAAACAUUCCGAGUGGAGAGCAAUCCUCCCACUCGAAGGCUUAGCUGCGACCCCGAAAUCGCCUAAGUUAAAAACAUUCCAAGUGGAGAGCAAUCCUCCCACUCGGAGGNNNNNNNNNNNNNNNNNNNNNNNNNNNNNNNNNNNNNNNNNNNNNNNNNNNNNNNNNNNNNNNNNNNNNNNNNNNNNNNNNNNNNNNNNNNNNNNNNNNNNNNNNNNNNNNNNNNNNNNNNNNNNNNNNNNNNNNNNNNNNNNNNNNNNNNNNNNNNNNNNNNNNNNNNNNNNNNNNNNNNNNNNNNNNNNNNNNNNNNNNNNNNNNNNNNNNNNNNNNNNNNNNNNNNNNNNNNNNNNNNNNNNNNNNNNNNNNNNNNNNNNNNNNNNNNNNNNNNNNNNNNNNNNNNNNNNNNNNNNNNNNNNNNNNNNNNAAAAUAUCCGAGUGGAGAGCAAUCCUCCCACUCGUGGGCUUAUCUGCGACCCCGAAAUCGCCUAAGUUAAAAACAUUCUGAGUGAAGAGCAAUCCUCCCACUCGGGGGCUUAGCUACGACUCCGUACUCGCCUAUGUUAAAAAACAUUUUGGGUGGAGAGCAAUCCUCCCACUCGGAAACUUAGCUGCGACCCUGUUCUCGCCUAAGUUAAAAACAUUUUGAGUGGAGAGCAAUCCUCCCACUCAGGGGCUUAGCUGCGACCCCGUACUCGCCUAGGUCACAAAUAUUCUUUGAGCUACGCCACAAAUACAAUGUGUGCUCUAUCCUUAUCCGCAAGGACGACGAGGUGUCGAUUGAACACCACAUCUGAGCUGCAUCUCAAGCACAAUGAGUGAUCCCGAUCGGCAAGGACGACGAGGUGUCGACUGAACACCACAUCUGAGCUGCAUCACAAGUACAAUGAGUGAUCCCGAUCCGCAAGGACGGCGAGGCGUCGACUGAACACCACGUUCGAGCUGCGUCACAAGUACAAUGUACCAUCCCGAUCCGCUAGGAUGGUGAGGUGUUGAUUGAACACCGCGUCUGAGCUGCAUCACAAGUACAAUUUACCAUCCCGAUCUACAAGGACGAUGAGGUGUCGACCGAACACCAUGUCUGAGCUACGUCACAAGUACGAUGUACAAUUCACUCGACAAAAGGUGAAAAGAUCAAGUUCACACAGAAUCGAAAGACAGUCAGAAACAGUUCAAAACCAAAACAAAAGCCAUGAUAUUCAAGAAAAUUCAAGUUCAAAUAAAUCCUGCAAAAGUUCAGGACCGCGGCAGGCAGAAGUACUCAGACAUCAAGCCUGAAAGAGUUUAACGGUUACAUAAUCACUCAGCAUUCCGAGGCAAAUAAAAGUGGGGCAUAAUGUUUUGUUCGCUCGUCAGGAGAAGGACUUGCUGGAUCGCAGAAACUGCCAAGGUCAAUGCUAUCUGCGAUGCGAGUGGCGACAUCAAGGAAAGUGUCCAUGAAGGACUGGAAACUGUGCUUUUUGGUGUUUACAACCUUGAGUUCCGCCAGCUUGUCUUCUCUUACAUCCUUGCAGUGCACUUGGACCAAUGACAUGGAGACGUCAGCGCCACAGCGAGCAGAUGAUUUCUUACAUUCUUGCACUCGGUCAGGUAUUUGAUUCAGUCGAGUCAUUAGAGACUCAAGAUCCUGUGAGAGUUCUGCCUGAGGCCAGAGUUCAAAAUCAACCCGCGUCAUCGCCGCCUUCAGUCGGGCAAGAUAAUCAACAAUGCUGUCCAUGCGUGACUCGAACCACAACACAUUCAUUGCAAUGUCAUCUUUGAUAGGACAAUUUAUGGGGUCGAGACCCGUCUCGACCCGCCCGGUUUCUGCUUCAAAGUCUUGACAAAGUUCUGCACAGUCUAAAAAACAGUGAGUCGAUAGUUUGACAAGACAUGUCAGUCGAUGUCAACAAAUCAGUCGAACAAGAAUACCUUCAAGCUUCAAGACCAAUUUCACAGUAAGCUGCCCCAUAUAAGACUCUAAUUUGCCCUUCUUGGCCUUGAGGCUUCCAAUUUCGUUGGUCAAGCUGUCCUUGUCUUUCUUCAGUUGCUCGACCUCCCGAUUGACUUCAGAGACGAUGGUCUUCAACUUGGAGUUCUCCUCUUCCAACUUGCCGACUGAAGCCAACUUCUUGUCUGCAAGCGCUGUUUUCUCUCGCGCCUCCUUCUGGGCUGUAGCAAGAUCCCGAUCCUUCUUCUCCAGAGCCUGCUUCAUUUUCUCUAAAGAAAUUACAUUCUUCAGACGAGCUUGAAGUUGACAGUUUUCACUACGCACAUUUGUUCGAAUGAAAUCACUCGGUUCAAAGAGACUAAAAAAUGGGGAAGAGCGAGUCACAAGGAGGACAGUCGACGCGGUUACCUCCCAUGAUAGUUGCUUCGUCCUGAGCAUUCUUGAGGUUCUUCUUGGCCAGUUCCAGAUAAAGGUUGAGGCUGAUUUGCUUCUUAUUCAGUUCAGAAAGUUGAGCCCCAAGAUCACAAGACCUCUGCAGUCAGCAAAUAAGAUAUGUCAGUCGACAGAAACAAAAGUCAACCACAGUGAAAGUUGUUCUAAGACUACCGCUGAAUCAAACAUUCAACAGUAGUCUCGGGGACUACACCCAGUGGGUGCACUUAGCGUGCCCCCACUUGUUUCGGUUUUACACUCAGCAUGGUCUGCCCCGCAUGAGUAAAAAAAAGAAAGACCCCAGCCGACUACUAACAGUCGUCCACGGUCUCGGGGACUACACCUAGUGGGUGCACUCUGCGUGCCCCCACUGGUUCGGAAAAACACUCGACUCAGCCUAGUCGCCUCAAGUGGAAGAACUAUACAGCUCUAAGACAGAAACACCCCAGUGGGUGAUUGGAUGUGAAAAACAGACCCAUGAUAGAUGCACAUAAUGGGUUCCAAAACGCUCAUCCAAGAGCACCAUAUGGACAGCGAAGCAACAAUGGCAACUAUCAUUAUUCAAGAGACCAGUCAGGAAUCAACUAACCUUGACGUUGGUUUGCAGAGCGGUGCUGGCAUUAUAAGCUACCAGACUGGCCUCAUGCACCACCUUCAUCUGCUCCAUCACGAGAUUUACCUGGAGAAGGGCCUCCCUGGCGGCAAUCGGUGAGUCAUAUGGAGUCUGGUAUGCGGUAAAGAGCGAUGAGGGCAAUGCAGUCCGAGCAGCCACAGGGUCAGAUGCAUGGAGUUGUACUGGAGCGGCAGAGGUCUGAGCAGUCGACCCUGAUGGACAGUCAGUCGACAGCGGAUUGGCAAAGGUAACAUUGGUCCAAGCCGGAUCUCCAGACCGCUGGACCAUUGUCUCAAGCACCGGUGUCGACUGAGGGACCUGACCCUCGGGCGCUUUCCCGCUUGACGCCCUGCCCUCCUCCUCCUCUCUCUCUCUCAGAGGCACUACUUCUUCAUCAUCCGGAAGCUCAAUAACGUCCCGUGGAGCUGCAAAAAAAAGCAACCUCAAAAGUUCAAUCGGCUAACAAUUCAAUCGAUAGAAUAAAUCCAAGUCGAAUGGAGCAUACUAGCUUUGGAGGUGGCCGCGUCAUUGGUUUCAUCGUCAACUGGGGCCUUGUCAACGUCCAUAUCAGUCUCGGCUGAGGCUGGUCUGGAAAAGUUUAUAAUCCAUUCGGUCAGAACAGAAGUAUUAGUCGGUGGACAAAAAAGCAGAAAGAAAGAACACUCACCCAGAGGCAACAGGGACGUCCAUCUUGAUCUUGGGCAAAGUCUCUAAGCCUUUGAGGAGACGACCUUGGGCUGCUUGGCGACCUUCUCCGUCAGCUCUGGAGUCGAAGUCCGAGAGCACUUUUAUGCUUGAGUGCUUGGAGCCACGGUCUUGCCACGCCCCCCCGCUGGAUCAUGGAGUAGCUUGGAUCGACGCUUCGUGCGAGGUGGUGAGUUGACUAUCUUGUCGUCGUCCGACUCAUAACUUUCCUCCUGGUCCUCAUCUUCUGGAGAUUGCCAAUCGCCGCUUUCCUCCACGCUGUCCUCUCCCUCCUGGUCUUGCUCCAGAGCUUGUUCACCAUUGGGCAUCGAGUACAUCUCAGUGUAAACCUACAAGACAAGAAGUCAAGUAAACAUUAGUCAGAUUUGAAGACAGUCGCAAAAUGUAUCGAAAUACAGUCGGUAGAAGAGACCAAACCUUAUCUGGCUGGUUGCUGUCGCUGAAUGGGUCGAUUCUCCUGGCUCCACUGGGGUUGUCCUUGUUUCCUGUAAUAAUCUUUAGCCAUAGGGCCACUUUCUUGGCCGAAACCUCCUCUGGAUGAACCCGAGCGGUGUCGUUGGCUCUAGAGUACAUCCACAUCGAGUGAUCACAAGCCUGGAGCGGCUGGAUGCGUCGACCGAGAAACACCUCCAACAAGUACAUGCUAGUGACACCUUGAUUGAUCAACUGGACCACUCUAUCGACCAACAUGUUCAUUUCCACCCUCUCUGCAGCGGUCACUUUCAGUGAAGAAGGUUGCUAGGCAUGAUCUAAAGAAAAAGGGGGAAUUCUAGUUUACUGACCUGGAGUCGCAAUGUCCUGGCAGUAGAACCAGGUCGACUGCUAGCCCCCGACCGACUCAGGAAGUGUCAUAGAAGGGAAGGAACUCCUUUUCCUCCUCUAGAUACCCAAACCCCCACAUAUUUGGAUAAUGUGCAUUCACUCGUCACUCGAAUUCGCUUUCUUCACUGACUGGGAGCGGAUUGUGAAGAUGUGUUUGAAAAGACCCCAGUGCGGUCGACAACCCAGGAAGUUUUUGCACAUGGACACAGAUGCAGCAAGGCACGUAAUGGUGUUGGGAGAGAAGUGAUGGAGUUGGGCUCCGAAAAAGUUCAAGAAACCCCGGAAAAAAGGGUGCGGGGGAAGGGAGAAACCGCGGUUGACAUGGGUGGCGAGCAGAACGCACUCACCUGGUCGCGGCUGAGGUUCCUUCUCCCCCUCCGGCAGCAUUGCAGCCCCGUCGGCGAUCUGUCCGGACUCGGCCAGCUCCUCCAAAUCUUUUGGUCGGAGCAAAGAUCAGAUCCAAUCUCCCUAGAUCCAACCCCGCGGUAGCGCUGACCACGAUGACGACCCCCGAUUCGUCUUCUUGCCUUUCGUCGCCCCCGUUGCCUUCUUCGCACGUUCCAGCACCACCGUCUUGUCCUUCACCAUGGUGGCGGGGCGGCGGCGUCGAGAGCGGAGGAGCAAGAUGUGGUGGAGAAGCGGAGGAGAAAGAAGAAUAAUGGACGCACACAGUGCAGACGCCUCGGCCCCGUUGCCUUUUAAGGACCCACUUCCGAGUGACUGACGCGUGGGCCCGGGCAAUCCUAUCAAAUCCCGCAACAGUCACGCGCUGGGUACAUGGCGAAAAAGGUGGCGCAGGGAUCGAGGUGCUCCUAUCUGUCCAUCCCGCUUACUACGGCAUUGCUCCGCCUCGCAUGCUUCCCCGAAAUUUCGAAUCCCGUGAGAUCCGGGAUACGCCGUAACCAAUCGCGCCAAAGAUUUCGCGUCAAAAAAUAACACUCGAUGAGUGACGGUAUAAAUCCACUCGGCAACUUCUGAAUCGAUCAAGGCGACUGAAACGAAGCCGAAGUUCCAACAUGGGCCUCCCGUCGAAAAUGAGUACUUGUGAAGCACAAGAGUUGAGGCAAGAUCAACUUCAACCUUCUUUUCACUCAGACCUCAAUCCAUUCGGGCGCUAAUGAUGAUGAUGAUAUAGAUCUAGAGUAGGGUCAUAGGCCUGACCUAUAUGCCCUACCCAAGGUCACUACCCUAGAAGCAAAGACAUCCAAGACACAGCAGGGAGUACCAAUUGAAGACGUCGAGUGCAAUCCACUCGACCAACCACCUCACUCGGGUACCCCUCCCUCUUAAUAUCAUUCGACCAUACAAGAAAUCACUCGACCUAUCGAAGACCAGGAGUUGCCAGAAUAGCAACGGCCAGGCGUUCACUCCAUAGUCUUUAAGAUCAUUAAAAGCAAUUUAUGGCUGGCGUUCUCAGUAAUGCCCCGUCUUUAUGUACAUUGAACUCUUGGUAACAGGGGAUGGCUGGGGUCUUGGCGCACUCUAUAUAAGCCACCAGCCUCCUCUGGCAUAAGGGUUCGCACCCCUAUAACACACACUAUCAUAAUCCAGUCAACCACCUCAGGGCACCAAGACGUAGGGCUUUUACCUCCUUAGAGAGGGGCCUGAACUCGUAAACACUUGCGUACAAUCUCACCGUAGCUAGGACCUUGCCUCCUGAUUGGUACCCCUAUACUUACUGUUAGACUUAGAACCACGACAUGUGGCAGAAUGCUGGGACUGUUGGGCAGAUCAAAAUAUGUGCUUGGCUUGCCCAACAUUUGGGUAACAGAUGUGACUAGAGGGAUGCACGCGCUUGGGCCGCGCCGUUUUUCUGCCGGUUAGUAUUUUCUUUGGCCCAUGAUUGAUACUGUACUAUUAGCUAGAAGAUUUGCGUAAAGCUCCAAGGCCUAAGAUUAGUACCGGAGUUUAGUAGAUGCUGGCGCGUCCAGCCCAUCAUGUCGGAUCUAAUUCAUCCCUAACCACUUUCUCUACUCCUUUUCUCUUUUUUCCUCUCGGAUUUUGGUCGGCACAUGUCCGUAGGCACCAACAAAAACCGUUCACGGAUAUAUAAGGGGUCAAAUUAGUGUAUGUUUUGUACUUAUCAGAUGGAAUAGAUACAUCAAGUUGUCGAGCCAUCUACGAGAGAUUAGUAAAGAACAACAUAGAACCAUUGACCAAAAUAGCAGUAAUACCAUCGAAAGCUGAGUGGUGAAUGAAAUUUGAUGAUUGAUUCUUUUAAACCCCUUAGACUACCAUCCUUAUCUGUCGACGGCAGAUACCCCUAGGUUAGGGUCUCUUACAAAUUGCCCAACACACGAAGAAAUCCCUUAACGAUGUCCGGACAACUCACAACACCUAUCUUGUCAACAUCAGAUCACAUUUGCUCCACUCCCUCACGCACAACCCACCGUCAUUCCUCUCGCUGCUACUGAUUCUGUGAUCCCAUCCCGCACACCACGUGCAUGGUCGUAAGGGAGAGCAGGCCUCUCAAACCCGCCCAUUCUGAUCCCGCAGUGGGUUAAGGGGCAACUAGCUUUUUGGGCAGCAUCCCAGGUGCGAGUAAUCGUUGUUAUUCCUGAACUUCGACUACAUCCUCAACCUCUUUAACAUCUCUAUGGCUAAAAACUCUGAAAUCCAGAAGAAGGUUGCUAAGGAUGUUGCUCUUGUCGGUGUGGCUUUGACCUAGCGAACUGGAGGGUAUAAUUUUGUUGGUGCAAUAGUUUGCCCACUUGUGUUUUGGAGAUUGUUGUCAGAAACAGGCAUGCACUCAUUUGUUUGCUAAUGCACAUAAGGGAUGGUCCAUGCAAGUUUGAGGAGAAUGCUAUGCUUCGUAUUGAGGUUUGAAGAACUUCACUGAAGAUUAUCUGCGUGGCAGAGAAAGAAGAGCUACAUUUCAAAAAGAAAUGAAUGCGAGAAGAUUGUAUUGAAGGAAUUGACCCCUUUAAAAAAAUUGACGCAAAGCAACAUUCAUUCGUUGUGUCCGAGAAAGAAUGACUGCAAUUGAGAAGAUUGACGGCAAAGUGAAGAAAUGGCAUUCCUUCCGUCAUUCUACUUUCUCUUAUUUGAGUCAUAGGACCUUCGUACUAUUAAGAGGGGUAUAUGUUCUCGAAGCUUAGGUCUGUUGUCAUGCCUAGUUGAAACCUAUGAAAGAAUGAGAGAAAUCUCUUUGUGUUCCGAAUGAUUAUAUGUCAACAGAAGACGUUGUUCUUCGGAGUUGUGGGAGAUAUCUUUCAGACCAAGGAUUUAGCAUUUCUUGCUCCGCAAGGAAUGUUACUGUUGUGCUCAAGAUGCGACCAUUGGAAACGUGUCAUUUGGCCAUUGGCUGAUCCGAGUGUCUAAUUUGGUCAUUUCCCAUUAGGGAAGGAUACGGCUAUAAAUAUCCACCCCGCACCAACGUUGUCCGUUGCCUGCUGCGCUUAGGAUCCUGAGAAGAUUGAUUGAGCAUUCCCUAUCGAGAGAUUUGAGUUUAAGAUACACCGAGAGAAAAUCAAGAGCCAAAACUUAGAAAGUGGUUCAGCAUUACAGUAGUUCUGAGUUAGAGUUCAUGCACCUGUUAGAGCAUCUCCAGCCGUUGGCCCCCCAGGAGGCGCUAAAAAUCGCCCCCUGGGGGCGCGCCGGUGCUAAACCGCGCGCUGGGGGCGUGAUGCCCCCCAGUCGCGGCGCCCACAUUUUUUUUUGAAAAUUUUAAAUACGGCACAAACACGGCACAAAUUCAAUGCAAUCUUCGGCGAGUUCAUUCAAACUUAAACAUAUUUUACAAAAAAGAAAAAAAA